rnacentral:rRNA from 1 species
UGGGGAAUUUUGGACAAUGGGCGAAAGCCUGAUCCAGCAAUGCCGCGUGUGUGAAGAAGGCCUUCGGGUUGUAAAGCACUUUUGUCCGGAAAGAAAUCCUUGGCUCUAAUACAGUCGGGGGAUGACGGUACCGGAAGAAUAAGCACCGGCUAACUACGUGCCAGCAGCCGCGGUAAUACGUAGGGUGCAAGCGUUAAUCGGAAUUACUGGGCGUAAAGCGUGCGCAGGCGGUUUGCUAAGACCGAUGUGAAAUCCCCGGGCUCAACCUGGGAACUGCAUUGGUGACUGGCAGGCUAGAGUAUGGCAGAGGGGGGUAGAAUUCCACGUGUAGCAGUGAAAUGCGUAGAGAUGUGGAGGAAUACCGAUGGCGAAGGCAGCCCCCUGGGCCAAUACUGACGCUCAUGCACGAAAGCGUGGGGGAGCAAAACAGGAUUAGAUACCCUGGUAGUCCACGCCCUAAACGAUGUCAACUAGUUGUUGGGGAUUCAUUUCCUUAGUAACGUAGCUAACGCGUGAAGUUGACCGCCUGGGGAGUACGGUCGCAAGAUUAAAACUCAAAUGAAUUGACGGGGUC